rnacentral:rRNA from 1 species
GACGAACGCUGGCGGCGUGCCUAAUACAUGCAAGUUGAGCGCUGAAGGUUGGUACUUGUACCAACUGGAUGAGCAGCGAACGGGUGAGUAACGCGUGGGGAAUCUGCCUUUGAGCGGGGGACAACAUUUGGAAACGAGUGCUAAUACCGCAUAAAAACUUUAAACACAAGUUUUAAGUUUGAAAGAUGCAAUUGCAUCACUCAAAGAUGAUCCCGCGUUGUAUUAGCUAGUUGGUGAGGUAAAGGCUCACCAAGGCGAUGAUACAUAGCCGACCUGAGAGGGUGAUCGGCCACAUUGGGACUGAGACACGGCCCAAACUCCUACGGGAGGCAGCAGUAGGGAAUCUUCGGCAAUGGACGAAAGUCUGACCGAGCAACGCCGCGUGAGUGAAGAAGGUUUUCGGAUCGUAAAACUCUGUUGGUAGAGAAGAACGUUGGUGAGAGUGGAAAGCUCAUCAAGUGACGGUAACUACCCAGAAAGGGGCGGCUAACUACGUG